GGUUUCUUCUCGAAUCACUAUAAAUACUCUCCAAAGCGUAAGACCAUACUAGCGUCUAGACCAUUUGCUUUCUGCGCAGAUUAGGGUUUUUGUAGCGAGGUAGCAAGGAGGACUAAGGCGCCGAAUCACCAUGCGAGCCAAGUGGAAGAAGAAGCGUAUGAGGAGGUUGAAGAGGAAGCGCCGAAAGAUGAGGCAGAGAUCGAAGUAGUUCUUCUACCAUCAAUAAAUCGUCGUUGUUUUGGUGUCUAAUCGUUUACUGAUUAGAGAGUCGUAGCGUUUUUUCUGUUUUUAUGUUUGGAUUAAAGGUCUGAAAACUGCAUUUAUGUUAUUGCUUAAUGAAAUUUCGUAUUGCACUUUUAAACUUUGAUAA